rnacentral:rRNA from 1 species
CAGUCGAGCGAAUGACGAGGAGCUUGCUCCUCUGAUUUAGCGGCGGACGGGUGAGUAACACGUGGGUAAUCUGCCUGUAAGACGGGGAUAACUCCGGGAAACCGGGGCUAAUACCGGAUAACAAAAGGGGAAGCAUUUCUUCUUUUUGAAAGUCGGCAUCUCGCUGACACUUACAGAUGAGCCCGCGGCGCAUUAGCUAGUUGGUGAGGUAACGGCUCACCAAGGCGACAAUGCGUAGCCAACCUGAGAGGGUGAUCGGCCACACUGGGACUGAAACACGGCCCAAACUCCUACGGGAGGCAGCAGUAGGGAAUCUUCGGCAAUGGGCGAAAGCCUGACCGAGCAACGCCGCGUGAGCGAUGAAGGCCUUCGGGUCGUAAAGCUCUGUUGUUAGAGAAAAACAAGUACAAGAGUAACUGCUCGUACCUUGACGGUACCUAACCAGAAAGCCACGGCUAACUACGUGCCAG